GGCUCCUGAGGUGGUCAAUUUCGUAGCUACCACGCACCCUAUGGGUUAAAAGAGAUGCAGGGGAACGCCACGCCUGCCAGGAGCC
rnacentral:ncRNA from 1 species